UUCUGCUGCGUUCAAUGUUUCGUUUCGUAACGAAUUUCUUCUCAUAAUAUCAUCUCAUAAUAUAAUUAUACAUUCUUUGUUGAAAUACGCGGACAUUUCAACAAUGAAGAGUUUUCGAACUGAAGGAAUUCCCGCCCGGCGCAAGGAUACAGUCUCUUCUAAGCACACGGUGAGUGGCGCAGAUUGCAGCCGUACGUGGAUGUGAAGCGAAAAAAUAAGCGGGUAAAAUACACAUUUUCUAAACUUGUCUUUAUUAUAUGUUGUUUCUAGCAUUUUGAACUGUCCCAAUGCCUGAGUCGUUAAACCAGUGAUUGUGUGUGUUUUAAUGUUUUAAACGGUGCGGGCCGUUAAUCAUUUAAAAUGUUUAUGAUGUUUAAAAUUAGGUCUCAGUUGACGGUAAGGUGUAGUUUUGUUAUUUACUUGACAUUAUCAAAGUCCUAACAUUAGUCCCUUAUUUUGUUGAGGCUUUCUGUUGCAUUUUGUUUCCACUGUAAGUUAGGCCUAACGUUACUGCCAUUUUUCCAUCUGAGGAAAAAAUGUAACGUACUUUGCCAAACAGCUGACGACGAGUAGCGUGGAUUUAUAAUUUUUUGGGAUAUACUUGAAUCUACAUGAAUUAUAUAUGUGUAUAUAAAUAUAUAUAUAUAUAUAUAUAUAUAGUACCGGUCAAAAGUUUGGAAACAUUAGGCCUAGUAUUUUUAACGUUUUUGAAGUCCCUAUGCUCAUCAAGCCUGCAUUUAUUUGAUAAAAAAUACAGAGAAAAAAAAAAAAAAAAACAAUUUAAAAUAAUGGUUUUCUAUUUGAGUAUACUUUAAAAUAUAAUUUAUUUCCGUGAUGCAAAGCUGAAUUUUCAUCAGCCAUUUCUUUAGAUUAUUAUGGAUUUGUAAAUGAAUGUGUCCCAUGCACUCAUGUUUCUAUCUCUCUCUCUCUGUAGAUAAGUUUUGAGUUUCUGAUAUUAAAGGCAUAGUGAAAAGAUAAGUUGUUAGUUUCUGAUAUUAAAGGCCUGGUGAACAGAUAAGUUGUGAGUUUCUGAUAUUAAAGUCCCCAUGAACCGGAAGUUGCAAACGACUUUUCUCCAGUGUUGUGACGUAUUUCCAAGUGAAAUGGAAUAUUGAAUAGAGGGCAGGGUUUUACUUCAGCGCUCCACUUCUCCAUCUCUGGCUCAUAGCAGAGUAACGGUUGGAGGGGAGUGGUUUAAGCGUUUUCAACCCAAGCCGUCAAACUGACGUCAUCAGAGAAGGAACGCCAUUCCAGACCGGAAGUAACUUUUCAGAUUUUGAUUAAAGAUCACCGCGACAAACAAUUUUUUUCUGUGUAUUAACUUGCACAGAUUAAUUGUUCACCACAAAACUAGUAAUAUGCACUAACAAAGUAAAUAGGGUAAAUUUUGAUUUCAUGCCAACUUUAAAGGCAUGGUGAACAGGUGAGAGUUGCACCAUUUAAAGAUAAUAUAAUUGUUAGAAUUGAUGUUUUUAUGUUUUAUUUCUCACAUUAAGUCUCUCUCUCUCUCUGCAGAAAAGUUGUGUUAGUUUCUGAUAUUAAAGGCAUGGUGAACAGAUAAGUUGUGUGAGUUUCUGAUAUUAAAGGCAUGGUGAACAGGAAGGGUACUUUGUUUUCUGUGGACCAAAUCAUUGUUAAUAGCCACAGGACCAGUUUCAGUGAUACUGUUGAGUUUGCAUCCUACAACUACCUGAACAUCUCGUACCCUGCAGGCCAAGGAGCAACGCUGGAGUUCUUGCAGAGUUGCCUUUUCAAGAUAAACCCCAAGGGAUCUAAUGCUGAGAAGAGCACUUAAAGAAAGCAGAUGACGGUUAGUCCACAGCAUGUGUGUCAAACUCCACUCCUGGGGGGCAACUGUCCUGCAAAGUGCUCCAGCCCGCUCCAGAACACCUGUGUAGUGAUGGGUCAACAGCGUGUGGAUCCAUAAGCAGCUUUAUUAAACACAGCAGCAGUACAGAAAAGGGCAGAGCAAUACCAUAGUCAGGGACAGGCAGGGGUCGAGGCAGGCAGCGAGAAUCAGAGACGGGUCACAGGCAGAGAUCAAGACAGGCAGCAAACAAUCACAGUCCAAGGUACAGGCAAAGUUCAGGGCAGGCAGCAGAGACUUCGCAAAGAUGUGGUGUGCGUGUGAGGCUUAAAUAGUGUGUGUGUGAUGUGGUGCAGGUGAAAGUGCAAUCAGUCCCAGGAAUGAGGGCCUAUGGGAAAUGGAGUCCGAAUGGCAAAGAAUCAAUAUUCCGGAGAUGGCUCCCUCCGGCGGUCCGGAGGAUGAGCCGUGGGAGCCAUAUUCACGACAACCUGCCUGGAAGUUUCUAGCAAUCCUGAAGACAUUGAUUAGCUGGUUCAGGUGUGUUUAAUUAGUUCCUGUUGUUUUUAAUGGCUCCUUGUAAUUCAUAUAUUGACCAGUGGUCAGGUUUUGAAGGCAGACUGUUUAAUUAUUAUUCGACUGUAACUUUUUUUUUGUUUGUAACAAAUUGUUGUAUUGUCAUAUUAAGUAUACUGCUGCAAUUGAAACCAUUACUAGUUUUAAAACUGUUUUUGGC